rnacentral:rRNA from 1 species
AUGGGAACGCGAAGAACCUUACCUAGACUUGACAUCUUCUGCAUUAAUCGUAAUGGAUGAAAUCCCUUCGGGGACAGAAUGACAGGUGGUGCAUGGUUGUCGUCAGCUCGUGUCGUGAGAUGUUGGGUUAAGUCCCGCAACGAGCGCAACCCCUAUUAUUAGUUGCUAACAUUAAGUUGAGCACUCUAGUGAGACUGCCCGGGUUAACCGGGAGGAAGGUGGGGAUGACGUCAAAUCAUCAUGCCCCUUACUGUCUAGGGCUACACACGUGCUACAAUGGUGGGAACAAAGAGAUGCAAUACCGCAAGGUGGAGCUAAACUCAAAACCCCAUCCCAGUUCGGAUUGUAGGCUGAAACUCGCCUACAUGAAGCUGGAGUUGCUAGUAAUCGCGAAUCAGAAUGUCGCGGUGAAUACGUUCCCGGGUCUUGUACACACCGAGUCGUGGGAGGCAAGGGCACGACCGAAGGGGGGGAUA